rnacentral:lncRNA from 1 species
GGCACCUGAUCGGGGGGAGCAGAUGGGAGAACGUGCAGCUUGAGGACAUGGGGCCUCCCAAUGUCGCCCGUUCACACGGAGCCCUCGGCGUGUGUCCCCUGUCCCAUUCUGGGGCCUCAAUCUCAGCCUGUGAGUCACGGAGGCAGCGGUGUGACCUGCGAGAGGGGCCGUGGCAGGGACGGCUUGCAAUCAGACACGUGGCCACCGAGGACGCUGGGCAGGUGGAUGUGGUGUGACCUCGGGGUGUCUCAGCCUGCAAGCUCCUGACAGGAAGCAGAACGCACCGCUCUGGGGACGAGGGCCCAGCGGGUGCCAGCUCCAUGCCCAGAGCAGAGCGGGGACCUCUGAGGGGACAUGGGGUGACGGCCUGGCUGACGGCGUUGGCUUGGCAUGCAGAAACAGGCGUGUUCGGCCUCUCCUCGCUGUGCUGCCCUUCUGGAGCGAGGGUCCUGCCGGGUGGUUAGCUGGCCAAGCACGUCCACGGCUAAAUUACGUGGAGUCAAAACUUUUUUUCUGGGGGCUACGUGUUGCCAUGGCAACAGAACCAUCCAUCUUCUCAGCGUAUGGGAACCAGAGACGGGAUGUAUGGCCGUGUUUACAGGGAUGUGGGGGAGAGAGGAAGGUGGGCAGAGAGAAAGAGAAAUAGAUGGAAAGAGGGAGAGAAAGAGAAAAAGACACAGGGCGGUGGGGGAGGGGGGCGGGGGGAAAGGAAAUAAACAGAUGGGGGGGUUGCAGGGAGGAGAGGGAGGAAAUAGAGCAUGGAAAGUGUGCAGAGAAGAUUGCGGCUUUAAAGGGCUUGGGUUUACCAUGGUUUCCAAAGCUCCAGACAAAGCUCUGCAGGGCAGCGCCUGGAUCACUGGGUUUCAAAGCAGGGGGUAGGAGUUGCUGUUGUGGCUCAGAGGUAACGAACCCGACUAGCAUCCAUGAGGAUGUGGGUUUGAUUCCUGGCUGGGGACAGGGGGUUGAUGUGAGCUGUGGUUAUAGGUUGCAGAUGUGGCUCUGAUCCAGUGUUGCUGUGGUGUAGACCUGCAGCUCUGAUUCGACCCCUAGCUUGGGACCUUCCAUAGGCUGCAGGUGUGGCCCUAAAAAGACAAUAAAUACGUAAAGAAAUAUGUAGAGAAAUAUGUA